GGGCCCCGUGGGGGAGCGAGGGGGCCCCGCGGGGGAGCGAGGGGGCCCCGCGGGGUCCCUCCUGCAGGAAUCGCUUGCCGUGGUGCGGGCGCUGGAGGAGGAGAAGGAGCGCUGGGAGCAGGAGCUGAGGGCGACACGGAACCGCUUCCUUCUGCACAUGCGGAGAAUCGGCUUCCGGCUGCUGCACGUGCAGGAGGAGCUGCGCCGGGCACUGGAGCAGGGUCACGUGAUCCCACAACGGCGACACCUCGAGCUGUGGCACCGUCACGUGCAGGAUAUCACGGCCGCACACCUGGAGGAGAUGGCCGAGCUCGACCAAGACGCGGAGGAGAGGGGGG